rnacentral:lncRNA from 1 species
GAAAGAAAAACAGUAACUUUACAAAUACUAUCUCAAGCCAGGUGAUCAAGGUUAACAUCAACAGUGAUAAGUCAUAAUGAUAGUAUGUACCCUUCAAAUUAUAUGAUGAGAAUGCCAUCUUACCUCUCUGUCUUCCUCCCAAAAACAUAUUAACCAUGAGGAAAACAUCAAAUUCCAGUUAAAGGAGAUUCUACAAAAUAGGCCUGACCAGUAAUCUUCAAAAUUGUGAAGAUCACCAAAAUUGUCAAGAUCACCAAAAAUCUGAAAAACAGUCACAGUCCAGGGGAGCCUAAGGAGGAUAAGAACUAAAUGUGGUCCCAGACAAGAUCCUGGAACAGAAAAUGAACACUAAGGGAAAACUAAGGAAAUAUGAACAAGGAGAUUCCAUGAAAGGAGAGAGGCUGGCACAGCUGGUUGUUCUAUGGCCAUGAGGAGAAGCAUGACAAGAGAGAAGAGAUGCCACUAGAUGAAAAGAACUCUCCAGAGAAGAGUGGAGGCCCAAACUGGGAAGUUAGCUGUAGCAGCUGAUGUCACAAAGCCUGGCUGAGGACCAAAGAGAAACAGGUUCGUUUGGAAGUUCGUAUCUGAGCAGACUGGCUCAACCAGAAGUCCAGAAAAGUGUGGACCAGCUUCAACAGGACAGCACUAACACAGACUACUGCAGUCUCUGCACAGAGAGGCCUAAAGGAGAGGUCACAGCAGUACUCUGCAGGGCAUAACCCUUACAGAAGAACUAUUUGAUGGCAACACACGUAGAAACAAGUAGACAAACACAGCUGUGAAUGAUAAACUCAAAUGACAGUGCUCAGGCAGACAACGGCCCUUCCAACAGUCCAGAACAGGCUUAUUUUAUCUUGUUGUCAUUAGGAUCAAAUGAAAAACAAAAUCUUAAAAUUCUUAUGGAGAACUCUCAGACACUUGAACAUACAUUCCUAAAUUCCAAGAGAGCCACAGAAUCCAUUCUGAGAAACACUGAUGUACUGACUGGUUAAAAAUAAUAAUUGCCCUAGAGGCAACUGAAUUCAUGUAUUUAAUAAUAAUAGCUAACAUUUAGCAGGUGCUUAUGCGUGCUUGGCAGCCAACAUAUAUGGUUUUCUGACCCCAAUGCCCUGCUCCAGUGCACAGUAAUUAGAAAGGAAUAACUAGCCUGGGCAAC